UACGUAGGGUGCGAGCGUUAAUCGGAAUUACUGGGCGUAAAGCGUGCGCAGGCGGUUUUGUAAGACAGGCGUGAAAUCCCCGGGCUCAACCUGGGAAUGGCGCUUGAGACUGCAAAGCUGGAGUGCGGCAGAGGGGGAUGGAAUUCCGCGUGUAGCAGUGAAAUGCGUAGAUAUGCGGAGGAACACCGAUGGCGAAGGCAAUCCCCUGGGCCUGCACUGACGCUCAUGCACGAAAGCGUGGGGAGCAAACAGG
rnacentral:rRNA from 1 species